UACGUAGGGGGCGAGCGUUGUCCGGAUUUAUUGGGCGUAAAGAGCGUGUAGGCGGCCAGGUAGGUCCGUUGUGAAAACUCGAGGCUCAACCUCGAGACGUCGGCGGAAACCCUCUGGCUAGAGUCCGGAAGAGGAGAGUGGAAUUCCUGGUGUAGCGGUGAAAUGCGCAGAUAUCAGGAAGAACACCCGUGGCGAAGGCGGCUCUCUGGGACGGUACUGACGCUGAGACGCGAAAGCGUGGGGAGCGAAACAGG
rnacentral:rRNA from 1 species